CCUUUUUACCACAUCCAAGGAAGGCAGCAGGCGCGCAAAUUACCCAAUCCCAACACGGGGAGGUAGUGACAAUAUGUAACAAUAUACGGCCUUAUACGUCGUAUAAUUGGAAUGAGUACAAUUUAAAUCCCUUAACGAGGAACAAUUGGAGGGCAAGUCUGGUGCCAGCAGCCGCGGUAAUUCCAGCUCCAAUAGCGUAUAUUAAAGUUGUUGCAGUUAAAAAGCUCGUAGUUGGACCUUGGACCUGGACAGGCGGUCCGCCUCACGGCGAGUACUGUCUUGCUGGGUCUUUCCUCUUGGUGAUCUGUUGUUUCGGCAGCAGGGAACCAGGACCUUUACUUUGAAAAAAUUAGAGUGUUCAAAGCAGGCUCGACGCCGGAAUAUAUUAGCAUGGAAUAAUAAAAUAGGACGUGCGGUUCUAUUUUGUUGGUUUUUGGAAUCGCCGUAAUGAUUAAUAGGGACAGUCGGGGGCAUUAGUACUCACAUGCUAGAGGUGAAAUUCUUGGAUUUUGUGAAGACUAACUUCUGCGAAAGCAUUUGCCAAGGAUGUUUUCAUUAAUCAAGAACGAAGGUUAGGGUAUCGAAAACGAUUAGAUACCGUCGUAGUCUUAACAGUAAACUAUGCCGACUACGGAUCGGUCGAUGUUAUCUUUUUGACUCGAUCGGCACCUUAACGAGAAAUCAAAGUUUUUGGGUUCUGGGGGGAGUAUGGUCGCAAGGCUG
rnacentral:rRNA from 1 species